GAAACGUGUUAGUAAACCUCUUACCAGAACACCCUCACUAUCGAUUUUUUUUUGUCACUAAAACACAAACCAGCAUGGGACAUUAAACAGGACCUUUGGUAUUUGGUGUUGGGAAAAUGCCCCCUUGGAUCUAGAGCUCUUUAGGAGUAAUGGCUUCCCGAAAAGAACUAUAGAGAAAAAGAAGGCAGAAUAACCCAGGUGCCUGAGCAUCUUUGAGGAGGUAAGGAAAACUCUUUACUCUUUGCUGUUUGUGAGCUCUGAAUCACCAAUUGUUUGCUAGUCAGGCUUCCCCAUUUGCCAGGAAGGAUCAAUAAUGUAAUUGGAAUGACCCUGCACUCAACUGUCCCUGCCUUCUGAUGCCCGCCUCCCCUCUCUGAUCAGAAGGCCUCCUCACUGGGGACACUGAAAGCUGAAUAGUUCAGGGACAGAGCGAGGCAUUACUG
rnacentral:lncRNA from 1 species